rnacentral:lncRNA from 1 species
UUUAGAUUGGGUUCCCUGGGCAGCCAGUUCCCUGGGAGCUGGGAGCUGGGAGCUGGGAGCUGAGUAGAAAGAGUCUAUCGGGAGGGAUCCGAAAAGCACAGUGGGAGGGCGGGGGCACAGUGGGGAAGGAAAGGAGCCGGACCAGAUGCAGCAGUGAGCAGCUGGGGCUCCAUCUUGUUGUUGGGGGGCCAGGAGCGGCAGUUGUAGACAGCCCGCAAACCUUGACUCCCAUUUGCUGUUGGAGGGCAGCUCCUGGGGUGUAAACUCCCAGCACUUCCAGCCUGCCCUGUGCCCUGGCUUCUGGCAUGGCCCUCCUCCCAGAUUCAUGGGCACCAUCUCUGCACACCUGUUAGCUCAUACCUGGUCUUCUAUUCAUGUGUGAACAGAUACUCACGGCAGGCCUUCAUGUGCCAGACCAGGGUUCAGGGCAGCGAGGCAUACAUCCCUGCCUGCAGGAGGCUUACCCGCUUCAUCCGGAAGUUUCCGCAAAGCCAAGAAGGAUCUGAAAGCAUGGGGCAAGGAUGAGGAGGAGGUGAACAAAGGCCAGGCAGCACUGAGAUCUGACAGACUGGUAAGAAUUGGGUGUGUGGUGGGGGGAGGUAGUUCCUCAAAAUUAUAUGAAGAAUCAUCCUCUGACCUAGCAGUUCUGCUCCUAGGUGUCUGCUCAAGAGAAUUCAAACAGGCGCUCAGACAGAUGCCAUAGCAGCAUUAUCCACGAUAGCCAGAGGCUGGACACUACCAAGGGUCUGUCACUGAUGAACAGAUAAACAGCGUAGUCCAUGCAUCCCGUGUGGAAAGGAAAGACGUUCUGAGUCCCACCGCAGCCUGGCGUGGAAACUGUGAGGCAAUCAUAAAUAUGACGGCAUGUUGUGAUUCCAUCCUGGCGCCCAGAGAAGCAGCAAGGCCUUGUACACAGAGCUGGAGGGGUGCAAGAGGGAGCCUCCCUGGCCGGUCCCUGAGCUCGCCUAAACCACAGCCUGAGAUCCGGCAUGCCCUACGCACUGUCUGCUUCCUGUCCUGGAAUCUCUGUCAUCUGGAGGGAGGACCCUGGCCCCCACUGGUUGACCACAGCUGAUCGAGUCAGGAAGCGACACCUGACCCAGGCUGAAUGUCUCUCUUAAGAUUCAGGAAUCCGGAUCCCCGGAGUCCAGGUUAGUGACUUCAGGAUGGGAAGAGCAGACUGCAGCAGAGAAAGCUGGUCUGUGGAGGGCAGAAACACGAGGCAGACUGGCUGACAGCAGAGAUGUAGGGCCCAGUAAGAGAGAGACUGGCACAGUGGGAAAGUGGCCAUCUGCAAGCUGGGCAGAGAACUCUCACCAGGGACUGAAUCAGCCAGAGCCUUGAUCUUGGACUUUUAGCAUCCCCAACUGUAAGACACUGCUGUUUCCAGCCACCCAGUCUGCAGUAUUUCGUUAUGCCGUCCCGCAAAGACUAAUACACAGGACUUGGU